rnacentral:rRNA from 1 species
UAGUUGUGGUGGGGUAAUGGCUACCAAGGCUGCGAUCUAUAGCCGGGCUGAGAGGCUGACCUGGCCACAUUUGUGUGGACUGAGACACGGCCAGACUCCUACGGAGGCAGCAGCUAAGAAUCUUCCGCAAUAGUCGAUAGACUGACGGAGCGACGCCGCGUGAGUGAUGAAGGCCUUUUAGGUUGUAAAACUCUUUUAUAUUGGAAGAAUAUAUACGUAUUAGACUAUAUUGACUGUACUUUAUGAAUAAGGUCCGGCUAACUACGUGCCAGCAGCCGCGGUAAUACGUAGUGGGACCCCUGAGCGUUGUUCGGAAUUAUUGGGCUGUACAAGGGUAUGUAGGCGGUCUAUUAAGUUAGAUGUGAAAAAUUUGGGCUCAACCGAGAUCUUGCGUCUAAUACUGAUAGGCUAGAGUCUCUGAGAGGAAGUGCGGAAUUCCUGGUGUAGGGGUGAAAUCUAUAGAUAUCAGGAAGAACACCGGUUGCGAAGGCGGCCUUCUGGCAGAGGACUGACGCUGAGGUACGAAAGUUAGGGUAGCAAACAGGAUUAGAGACCCUGGUAGUCCUAACCGUAAACGUUGUAUACUAGGUGGUUGAAGUAUUGAUCCUUUGACUGCCGCAGCAAACGCAUUAAGUAUACCGCCUGGGGAGUACGCCGGCAACGGUGAAACUCAAAGGAAUUGACGGGGCCCCGCACAAGCAGUGGAGCAUGUUGCUUAAUUCGAUGAUACGCGAGUAACCUUACCAGGUCUUGACAUAUACCUGUCUGGUGUAGAAAUACAUCAUUGCUUCGGCACGGGUAUACAGGUGCUGCAUGGUUGUCGUCAGCUCGUGCCGUGAGGUGUUGGGUUAAGUCCCGCAACGAGCGCAACCCUUAUUCUUUGUUGCUAACAGGUUAAGCUGAGCACUCUAAGGAGACUGCCGGUGACAAACCGGAGGAAGGUGGGGACGACGUCAAAUCAUCACGGCCCUUAUGACCUGGGCUGCAAACGUGCUACAAUGGGUGGUACAAAGAGUUGCGAGACCGCGAGGUGGAGCUAAUCUCAAAAAACUAUCCUCAGUUCGGAUUGGAGUCUGAAACCCGACUCUAUGAAGUUGGAAUUGCUAGUAAUCGCACAUCAUCAUGGUGCGCUGAAUACGUUCCACGGGGCUUGUACACACCGCCCGUCGCAUCACCCGAGUUGAAUAUACCCGAAGUACCUGAGCUAAC